CCGUAAGUUAAGGCCCGCGCGCUGCCUUAACUUCACUAAGGCGCCGUUGGCUACGGCCGCGCUACGGCGCCGUAUCUCUGCAUUCUUUUCCCAUACUCAAAACUUUUUAAGGCCGCCGUAACGGGGCCUUAGGGCGCGCGCCGCUCCAAGGCGGCCGCGUCUCAGUGGCCAAUCAGGGGCAAGUUCUAGUCGGCAAAUAGGAAGCGUCGACCAAUCGCGGGAUAUAAACACUAAUCAGCUGUUGUGCGAACGUGACCCGCCGCACCCAACCUCAGUCUCUCUCACGAGUCACGGGUCACGGACGAUAAUGGAACCUCUCUCCUCACCCCCUACCAAGAAAAGGAGGCCGAACUUUUCGGAAGAGGAGCUCUUAAUGCUGUUAGCAGAGGUCUCCAAAAGGAAGGCACUGUUACUUGGGCCCCUUACAAACAGUGUAACGUUAAGAUCAAAGGACCGAGCGUGGGAGACCGUUGCAGUAGCAGUAGGUGGCGUGGGGAGGGUUAAGAGAGAGAAGGGUGAGGUGAGAAAGAAGUUCAAGGACUUCAGGUCUGAGGUGAAGAAGAAGGCAGCCAAGAUCAACAAGGAGAGGAAAAAAACAGGUGGUGGCUCACUGGAUGUUAAUGACCAGUUGAAAGCCAGCGAAGAGGCGAUGUGGUCUCUCCUUGAGCUUGAGGCCAUCGAUGGACUCGCUAAUAUUGAGGAUAGCGAAGAAUUGUCAUCAAUGGCUUCAGCAACCAUUGAGAAUGAAGAGCCAGCACCUCCCAGAACAACUAGUGUGGCAGCAUGUAAACCUCCGACGCCUCAUCCCCUCGCAGGAACCUCCCCCAAGAGGGUGGCCAUGGCUGAGUUGUAUCCAGUAUCUAGGGAUGCAAACAUAUUCCUGGAGCCUGCUACUGGUCCUUCAGCCAUCCAAGAAGUGACAGUUACAUCUGUGUCCCAAGACACAAAUCAUGUUCCUAAUGAACAUGAUUACCACAGGGAGGAGCCGAACUCUUCAAACAGCACUCCGAGACGAGGCCAG